ensembl:lncRNA
CUCUCUUCUGAUAAAAGUCUAAUCCAAAUACCACUGGAGUGAAUCAAAACAUUGCCAUUACUUACAGAGGCCGUAUUUUCAGCUACCAAUAACCUUUCAAGCUCCACAUCAUUGCACUUUGCUCUUCUGAUUUGGACAAUGAUGCUGUUUCAUGGAUGGCUCACACAGCAGAUGGGCAGUAGAAAACCACAGAUACGAGGUCAGAUUCUCCGCGUUUCUGAGCUACAUCUGCAGGAAGGAGGUUACAGUUCUCACCAUAUGGAUUGAUCCAGAAUGGACUGCUGGAGAGUUGGCGGCCUUAUUUUAUAAGCAAUAAAUCCCAUUUUUCAUGACAGUGGCACAGGUAUCUCAGUCACUCCUGCAUCCCAUGCAUUUGCAGGGCAGGAUCACAGUGCCUGCACAGCAGUAUAGUACACAUGCAAAACCCUUCUACCCAAGGGUGGAGGGUUGCAUGCGCAGUUGGAGCUCAGCAAUCCUGGAGCACUCAGAAGCCACCA